rnacentral:lncRNA from 1 species
UUGUAUGAUUUGUAUAACCAAAUACAUGAAUGAUAUAUGUUUUAAAUACUCGGUCACUUAUACAUGUGCGUAUAACCCACAUAAAAUCUACGAUAUUUGUUGUGUACUUACAAAAUCCUACAAAGAUCUCAAGUAAUAUACUCAAUAUCUCCAUAUCCAUCACCCCCUCUCACACGUUCUAUCUCCCUACAUAAUCCUUCAGAGAUUUCCAAGUACUUCAGAGAUCUCAAGAGCUUCUAAAUAUCUGCUUUUUAUCACAUAGGAAAGUCACACAAUCAUUCACAAACUCACUCUUUCUCUCCCAUCUUUCUGUUUCGAUGCAUAGCCAAGAACACCUCCAUUGGAGGUGGUUUUCUUGUGAUUUCCUGGUGAGCUAAGGAGCAGUAGCCCCUCCUCCUGUCAAAGAAGCUCAAACCCAAACAUCCUUCUCCUAUAUCGAUUUCUCUCAAAAGCAAACCCAAACAACCAUUUUAUUCAUUACAUAGGUUCCUAUUAAAACAAACAAAAUCCCAAGAGAAACUUCUUACCUAUUGUUGAUCAGAACUGCCAAAGCAAUGGGGAAACAUCGUGAUUGUCGAUCGGGACAGAAAAGAAGAAACACGAGGACUCGCUAGAGACUGAUCGCUGAUACGAUUCGUCGCCGGAGAAACCCACACCCAUCCUCCCUCGUUCUUCCUAUCAAUCAAACAACUCAAAAGAAACCCACACCAAAUGUUGUCCCAGUUCUGAUCCGCACCUCCAUCUUCCCUUUGUGUUACUUGCCAAAAUCAGAAGAGACAAGGCGAUGAGUAACAGCCGGAGCCGCCUAUCGCCACCAUUGUUGUUAACCACAACUUCUACCGUUGACCUUGCUUCCUUUUUCUUGGAUCAUUGCCAGUGGAGAUUAAACCAAUCCAAAUGAGGCUCGCCGGAGAUCGAUUCCUCCUCCCAACGUACCAGCCAUCGCCAGAGAUUGGACCCUUCUCGUUGUUCCGUUUGUUCGUCGCUCCCUCUGUUCCUAUACUUGAUUUGACGAACGAAUGAAGAAGAUGAGGCGUCAAAUCCCUUGUACCCCAAACCUUGUAUCAGAUUGAUAGAAACAGUCCCUUCAAUUAUAACUUUAAAUCAGGAAAUCAGCCCUUGACAUAAAUCUUUGCAAAGCAGGUCCCAAAUGAUUUAAACAUUUUAAAAACAACCCUUUUGGAUAUAAUUCAUUACAAAUUAGUCCCUCGUGUAAAAAUAACUUGCAAAACAUCCUUUUCCUUCAAAUAUAAAAUAUUUGAAAACAAGCCCCUUUAGUUUAAAACAUUACCAAAUAAACCCUGAAACGUUUAAAAGUCCAAGAAUGGUUACGUUGCGAUUUCUACGUGAAGCUUCACCAAAAUGAACCUAGAUCAAUAUGAGGCAUCGAAUGUGAGUUUCUACGGCCCCUCUUUUACGGUUUUAAUAUUUGGGGGAGAAUAUAUGCGUGUCUAUUAAAGUUUGAUGGAUUUUCAAGUUUUCUAUACAAAAUAACAUCUUAGUUUGAUUAUUAGUCAGACGUUUAUGAAGUAGCAAGCUAAAGAUGUGAUAAAUUACUAGCAAACCUAUUAAGUUAAAGUAGAUUGUUAUAAGUUGAUAUAAUUAUACUUUAUGUGAAAUAUAAAUAUAAUUAUUAAGAAAAAUCACAAGAUUGAAAGUAUAUUGCUAUAAUUAUACAAGUGAAUAUUAUGAGUCACAAAAAUGAUGACUUUACAUGAGUAAGAUAAAGUAUCUCAUGGAAGCAUGAAACGAUAUAAUAAUGACCAAAAUUAUUAUCCGUGUAUAAAAUGAAAGUAUAUUGCCAUAAUUGAUGGAAGAUUANAAAUUAUUAAUAUAUUUUUAUGUUAAUUAUAACAACAUAACUUCAUUAUACUAAGUUAUUUAUUCUUAUCACAAUAUAUAACAUGAUCGACUUCAGAGCUUAAGAGUCGUUAUUUACGAAAUAAAUACUUGUCGAGUAUUGUAUUUAAAGACUUUACCUUUAUCCCAAAUUAAAUGUAUUAAAAACAUUCUCGCAUAAUUUAUAUAAAAUAUGGGGAAUGUAGAUCUACAGUUGAUCCAAAUUUGGAUAAAUUCAAAAAUUAGCUAUUAUGCUAAUACAUCAUCGAAACUGUAUCUAGUAUGAUAAAUUCUUGAAGAUAUAAGAAUUUCAGUUAUUGUUUUCUGAAACAGUGAAUAAUGUUGUAUAUCCAGUGAAUUUAGAAUGGAUUAUAUAGGUUCAUUAUACCUAUUCCGUGUAGGUUCAUCAUACCUACUCCAUGUAAGUCGUAUAGGUUCAUCAUACCUAUUCAAUGUAGGUUCAUCAGACCUACUCUAUAUACUCUGUAUAGUUUCAUCAUACCUAUUCCGUGUAGGUUCAUCAUACCUACUGCAUGUAAGUCAUAUAGGUUCAUCAUACCUAUUCAAUGUAGGUUCAUCAUACCUACUCUAUGUAUUCUGUAUAGGUUCAUCAUACAUAUUCGGUGUAGGUUCAUCAUACCUACUCCAUGUAAGCCGUAUAGGUUCAUCAUACCUAUUCAAUGUAGGUUUAUCAUACCUACUCCAUGUAUUCCGUGUAGGUUCAUCAUACCUACUCCAUGUAAGCCGUAUAGGUUCAUCAUACCUAUUCAAUGUUGGUUCAUCAUACCUACUCCAUGUAUUUCGUAUAGGUUUAUCAUACCUAUUCAAUGUAGGUUCAUCAUACCUACUCUAUGUAUUCUGUAUAGGUUCGUCAUACCUAUUCCGUGUAGGUUCAUCAUACUUACUCCAUAUAUUCCAUAUAGGUUCAUCAUCCCUAUUCUAUAGGUUUAUCAUAUCUAUUCCGAAUACCGUAUCCAAUACGUUUGAGUUUCCAUUAUAAACUAUUUCGGGUUUCGCGAAAGCUAAGAUCUCAAUACGUAGUAGAAACUCUCCAAUAUAUAACCGUUAAUCCUCGAGGGAACGACUAACGUCGGGUGUAAGUGUCAUAUUAUUGAUCUUAUACGGUACGACUGCCCGCCUGGAGUUGUUAGCUACAACUACAUCUGAUGAGAUGAAUUUUGGCACUGACGUUAGCAUUAUCGAAACAUUACCACGUGUUACAACGGGGGAAUGACUUUAGCACGCGCACCUUAUUAUGGUGUCGGUGCAUUAAUAAAGUACAGUGUAACGAGUUCGGUUAUGAUUUCAUUAUAAAAUCCCAGUUUUGUUUCGUUAGCAUAUAAAAUCGAUAUUGGAUUUAUACGUGGUUUAUGUUCACUUAUUCUAGUUGAAGGAAAUUGUAUUUAGUGGGAUAGGUUGUCACUCAAAGCGAUAAGUGUCAAUACCAAAAAUUAAGUUAUAUAACACUUCAUUAAUAUCAUGACACGACUCGACAAGAUUUACUAACUCACAUAAAUGAGUUAUUUAUAUAAACCAUUUGCUUUUAUAGUAAAACACAAUAUUUAUGUGGGGGGAGUUUGCCCCACCAGUUAAGUGUCGGUUUUCAAAUUAAGUCAGAUAAUACUUAAUUAUUGUCACGACGCGAUUUUACAAAGUUCAUAAAUUCAGUACUUAUGAGUUUUUUUAUAUAAAUGAUACAAAUAUCUGUAUAAGGUUUCAAGAGUAAAGUUGGUUAUUGUGACAACCCGAAAUUUCCAUUAUGAACAAACCAUAUCAAGCCAAUAGAAGUUAGAACAGUUUUAGUGAAAUUUCAGACUUCGGGUACAAGUUUGGCAGUUUUUCAGGAUUUACACUUAAGGAGAUAUCAGGAGAGUGGAUGCACUAGGGUUUUGUGCAACACUGUUAUUCCAAUACUCUAGGAUAUUAGAGUUCAUUCCGAGAAUAAAAAUAUUUUCUGCCAAAAAUCUCAGGACUAUAUAUAGAAAACUGAACCAUAUUCGUUCAUUAGCUACAUUUCCAUUUAGAGAAAAGUCAAAAUUCUCUCUCACGGAUCUUCGGGUUUUUAUCCCAAAUUGUGAGUACUUCGAUCUAGUUAUGUUAUAUAGCUUAGAUUGUGUUUAGAAACAUCAAAAUCAGACCAUAACCCCAAGAUUUGGGAGUUUACCGCCAGUAUACUCCAUUUUAAGGGCCAAAAGUGUCCCAAUGCCCCUCAAAGCCUUGGAACUCAAACUAGAAGCCUCCAUUACAUGUUUAGGACACCAAAAUCAAUUAGAAACAAGGAUGAAAGUGAGUUCACGGCCAAGGAGGUUCUUGGGCCGUGAACUCCAUGUUUAAGUGCUAAAAUGCCCUAAAUGCCUUCAUUUGGCCAAAAGACUAGCAUAGCACAUUACCUUGAUGUAUCUAGGACCCAAAACAAUCUAAAUACCAACACCUAGGGGUGUUCACGGCCGCAAACACAUGGCCAAAAGGUUCAUGGGCCGAAAACUCUAGUUAGGGGUGUUUUGAUGCCACAAACACUUCCUAAGGCUUAGGCUUGAAUUUAGACAUAUACCCUAAAGUGUUUAUAGCCUANNNNNNNNNNNNNNNNNNNNNNNNNNNNNNNNNNNNNNNNNNNNNNNNNNNNNNNNNNNNNNNNNNNNNNNNNNNNNNNNNNNNNNNNNNNNNNNNNNNNNNNNNNNNNNNNNNNNNNNNNNNNNNNNNNNNNNNNNNNNNNNNNNNNNNNNNNNNNNNNNNNNNNNNNNNNNNNNNNNNNNNNNNNNNNNNNNNNNNNNNNNNNNNNNNNNNNNNNNNNNNNNNNNNNNNNNNNNNNNNNNNNNNNNNNNNNNNNNNNNNNNNNNNNNNNNNNNNNNNNNNNNNNNNNNNNNNNNNNNNNNNNNNNNNNNNNNNNNNNNNNNNNNNNNNNNNNNNNNNNNNNNNNNNNNNNNNNNNNNNNNNNNNNNNNNNNNNNNNNNNNNNNNNNNNNNNNNNNNNNNNNNNNNNNNNNNNNNNNNNNNNNNNNNNNNNNNNNNNNCUGGGCCGUAAACUCCAAAUCAUAUGGUCAUUUGACCAUAAACCCCCAUUAGAGGUCUUGCACUCCUUUGUUGCAAGCCAUUUGCCUCCUAGCACUUGACCAAAAGUGUUUUCGUCGCAUUAAAAUGCUUAUACUUGUAUAAUUAGUGUAUUAAUCACUACUUAUUUAUAUACAUAUGUCUUCAUAUGAAAUUAGGAUCAUUGUGUGUGUCUAAAGUCUUCACUUGACACCAAGCACUUGUCCGAUCAUUCCUUACGAUAACAUUCCAUUAAAUUCCAAUCACUUACUGCAGGUGAGUUCAUACCCCUUAAUCAAUGUUUUAACUAUUUUUAAAUGUUUUAUGGGGGGAUACAAGUAGAAUCAUGCUACUUAUUAUAUCAAUCACAUGUGAUUAAUAAGCAACAUUUAAAUGAUUUACCACUCAUUAGCCGUUUNUUUUUAAAUGUUUUAUGGGGGGGAUACAAGUAGAAUCAUGCUACUUAUUAUAUCAAUCACAUGUGAUUAAUAAGCAACAUUUAAAUGAUUUACCACUCAUUAGCCGUUUUACCAAACAGUUUCCUUCAAAUGAUGUUCAUAAACAUUUUAUAUGUUUAAAACUCCUUCUUACACUGUACAUUUUACUCUCUAUGUUUUAUUUCAAACUUAUUUACAAUUGUGUUGAAAACAAAUGUUUCCUUAUACUGUUUUAUCAAACCCAUGCCUUCAAACCGUUUUAUAGAUCGACAUCAAGUCGAUCUUUCCUUAGAUAAUGAUUAUGUUCAUAGGUUUUACAAAACUUAUUUUAUGCUUUUAUAUUAUAAAUUGCAUGCCUCUAUAUGUAUAGUUAUAUAAGUAAUGUUUAAAAGACUUAGGAAGGCUAUCCACCUUGUUUCCUUUUCCUCGAUUUGGAUGUGGUCUGAUAGGAUAUCGGGUACUCGUCCGAAGGUCGUUUAAAUAUUAGUUAUAUAUCAUGUGUACAUAUAUAGUCAUAAAAGGUCCUUCCAGUUCAUCCAAUGCCCUUGGGUAGCAAGGGUAUACAUCCAUGUCCAUACGUACCAGUUAGAUUACUAGUAAACUACCAUAUGGGUAGUUUAGGAAGAUACUAGAACUAUUACUAGAACGCGAUAUCAUACAAUGAGUCAGUUCAUUCAUGAGUCAAUACUUNNNNNNNNNNNNNNNNNNNNNNNNNNNNNNNNNNNNNNNNNNNNNNNNNNNNNNNNNNNNNNNNNNNNNNNNNNNNNNNNNNUCUCUUGGAGGGAGAGCGUGAGUUUGCGUAUAGAUCUAUACUGGAUUGACUAUCCUACACCUUGCUGCUAGCUACAGCCGGACCUGCAGGUCUGCAGGUGCCAAACGUCAUUCCGUUUUACGACCAUUCGUAUGUCCUUGUUACCAUUCAAUAGUAUGAUGCAAUUAAUCACAUGAUGCCUUAAUAUAAAUCUGGUUUAAGGUAGUUAGUACAACAAUAGUUCCUAUAAUACAACACUACAAUACUACAUUAAUUUCCCCUUUUCAUAUAUUUAGUGAUCAUUUCACUUAAAUAUUUAAUAUAAAAGCUAUAUUUUGAUAAUGAUAGUUACACUUGGGAAAAUUACACACUUUUACAAGAAACGAACAUUUAGAACAGUUAAGUCUUCGUAGAAGACUACAUUGAGAACAGUUAAGUCUUGGUAGAAGACACCUUUAUAUAAAAGUAGGAAUCAUAGGGAUUUAUAGGGUUUUUGAAACGUUUACAGUUGUUUUACAAACAUUUUUAUACUUACAGAUUAUCUACAUUUUUCCAUACUUAUAGUUCAUUUACAAACAAUUUCACAUACAAAUUAAGACACUAGAAUACUUAUGAUCUCACCAGCUUCAAAGCUGAUACUCGCUUUCAAAAUUACUUGUAUCCUCAGGUCAUCAUAGACAGGUACCGAUGCAAGGAGAAAGGAAGAUGGAGCUUGUUCAAGACUCAUCUUUCAUUUUGAUUUAUGCUUUAGUGUUUAUCAAAAUUUGACAGAGAACACUUGUAUAAUAAUUAUAUUAUUAAUGCAAUGGAUGAUGUUGUUGCUUAUUUACUACUUUUCAUUGUUGUGAUACUGUACAUGACGUCCUCCGCCCCAGAACGUUUCUUCUGACGUUCUUGGUUUUGGGGUGUGACAGAUUGGUAUCAGAGCAUUGUUUAUAGUGAAUUAAGUAUAUCAACCCAUAAAAUAUAUACUAACUAUAAAUACAUAAGGGAUUAAAAAUAAUAUGACCAUGUCACACCCCCGAACCAGACGACGGAAACGUCCGAGUAUACGUGCNNNNNNNNNNNNNNNNNNNNNNNNNNNNNNNNNNNNNNNNNNNNNNNNNNNNNNNNNNNNNNNNNNNNNNNNNNNNNNNNNNNNNNNNNNNNNNNNNNNNNNNNNNNNNNNNNNNNNNNNNNNNNNNNNNNNNNCAAGACGUUACUGAGUACAUUUUUCCUUUUCGAUUUACCUGUUACCUGAGAAUACAAGUAUUUUGAAAAACGUCAACAUAUGAAAUGUUGGUGAGUUCAUAAGUAAUGUUUGAAAUAUAGUGGUUUGUAUUGUUUUGAAAAUCACCAGAAAAUCCGAUAUUUUCUGAAAAGAGCAUAGUAUAAAAAGUGUGAAGAUCCGUAAGUAUGCUUGUUUGUUUCUAUAGAUGUAAAAGUACAAUUUGUAAAACUCGGUAUGUAACUCGUAGGUGUAUUAAUUGAAAACCCUAGGAAAACCCGAUGUUUUCCUAAUACUUUGCAUCAAAUGAUUUAUAUUUUGUUAUUUCGUUGCGACGGGUGUAUUCGUUGAGUCCCGGUGACAUUGGAUUAAUUAUGGAUUGUGAAUUGUUAUAAACACACAUUAAUGAAAAUGACUAGUUUACAACUAUACAAACGAUCCCUUAGGCGUCGUUCGCACUAUUCACUUAAUCCAAUCACCCGGACUUCUCAUAGCCCCACAACCGAGGAGGAAAAGAGGGUGCGAAGCCCCCGAUAUUUCCAUAAGUCGUUCAAGGCUAUCGUGAAUGCGAAGGGCCCUUAACUCGACUCGCAUUUGGUGAAUUCUCGACUUUACUAGCAGCACCGGAGGACCCUUGGGGUCUAACAGCACGAAGCCUGUAAAAGUCCUUUUACACGGAAUUAAGUCAUAUAAGACCCAACUACAUGUAAGCGAGUUUCCUUCGGGCCUAAAGAUCAUGUCAUUGGGCUAGCUAGGCCCAACAAGCACGAUUUGAAACUUUCGGGCCCAAAGACGGUGUAUCGACGUCUGGUGUAUUCCCACGUGAGUAUUGACUCCCCGAAAUUUCCGUGUGUGUAUUGAAUUCCCGAGGUUUCCGCGUGUGUAUUGAAGUAUCGUCGUGUUAGUAAUUUCAGAUUCGUUAUUGAUUCGAGACCGAAUCAAUUCGUUUGAUAACGAUUUUUGGUGUUGAAGGUGUAUUAUAUUUUGCCGAUAGUCGAGGUACUAGUAUUUCAUUAUAUCGGAUUUAUUGUUUAAAACAUUAGAAUUUUACAUUUUUCAGCCCCUUUCUUUUGGAUAAAUUUACACUUUUGACCCUUUGUAUAAAAGAAUUUCUAUUUUAGUCCUUAAGCCAUUUUUCUUGACACUUUAGUAUCAAAACUUGUAGAAAAGGUAUUUUUCAGCUCAAAGUUAUUUGAAAAACAGUUUUAGUCCCUCAACUGAAAUUUUUCUCGGUUGAAACCCUUAUUUUCGCAAUUUUUACACUUUUGGCCCAAAAUAGAAAAUCUUUGCAUUUUUGGUCCCUUUUAAAUAUGAAAAGCAUUUUUAACCCUUGAAAUGGACUUGGAGCACUAGUAGUCCCCUGUUUUAUAGAAAAAUACAGUUUUAGCCCCUCUAAUUUGAAAAUCUCGCAAUUUGGGCUUUAUUGGGCGGAAAAGUUCAUUUUUGGCCCAAUAUGCUUACAAAUUUCACAUUUAAUCCUUCAAAGAGAAUAUUUCCAGAAAAAUACAUUGUUGAAACUGUUUUGACUCAUUUCAUCCAUCAGAAUUUGUAUUUUGUCAUUUUGGGCCCUUUAACCUUAUAUUUUUUUUAACAUUUUGAGUCCAAAAAUGGGAUUUUUAGCCCAAGGAGUUCAUAUCAACCAACUUGGUUAUUUUUCUAGAAAUGAUUUGUGUGUAAUAAUAUGUUUUAUACUUGUCUCAUACAUCCUAAUGCAAUUCUCGAUUUUAAGAACUUUUUGACUAGAUUCAACACCAUAAUCACAUAAGAACAUGCAAAUAAACAUAGAAGUCAUACAAAGCAUACAUAUACUCAUAGAUCCACACAUUUGCUUGUAUUCCCCCCCCCCCCACAACACUUAUAAAAACUGAAAAAUAGGGGGUAUGAAGCUCACCUUUGCUUUGAUGUUUCGGUUUUGAAGAAGAAUAUGAGAAGAUGAUGUUGUUUUCGGCCUAACUUGUUUCUAUGAUAAGAUCUUCGAGUUCUAGGAAUUUUUAGAGUGUGGUUCAUAAAAAAAAGGUGGUAAGAGAAGUGAUUUGAGUUUAGAAAUGAAACAAAUCAACUUAGGUUUGUAAUAUCUUACCAAGGAUAAUGAUCUUGGUGAAAAAUCCUCUUGAAAGCACUCUAAAUCUUCGAAAUUUUUGGAGGAGGAAGGGGGUGUUCUAGAGAGAGUUUCUUAAGUGAUUUUGAAGGAAAUGAGGUGGUGAGAAGAUGUGUUGGCCAAAAAUAAGAAGAUAGGGGGAAAGAGGAUGUGAUGGUUACCUAGAUGUAUGAGGUUUGGAUAUUACUUAAUGGUUAAUUUGCAUUGAAGUCCACCAUGCAAAUGUGAUGUGUCUAUUGCUCAUUAAUUCUCUUCUUUCUUCAUUGGGCCGAAAUGGAGUAAUCAUGGAGGAGUUUGGGCCUUAUCUUGGUCCUUACUCGAAAUUAUGAAGCACAAAAUAAAUUUUUCGGCCCAUUGGGGCAAAUGAAAUCUUUUAUGGCCCAACAAGGCGAGAUAAGAUGGAUUAUUUUAGGCCCACAUGGCCCAAAAUGCUAAGGUUUUAUGAAUGUGGUCUAUUUAGAGCCCAAUUAGGGUUUCUAGGCCCAAGAUAGUCAACUUGAAGGUUUAUUGGUCCAUUAGGCCCAAUAAGAGAAUCCUAGGCCAUAGUGAACUUGAAAUGGGAUAUCUAGGGUUUCCAACCCUUAUUUGAGCAUAUGAGAUACAUUUUAAUAGGAAUGGAGCAUGGUAUUCACUUAGAUUACAAGUUAUCACACUAGGUGAAUGAUUGCAUGAGAGUAGAAUUUCCUAGCAAAAAUGCUAGUUAUGACAUCAUCCCCCCGUUAGAGGGAACUUCAUCCCGAAAUUCUUUCGAAAGGUAGGUUCCUGAAUGAUAGAAUAGGUGAGGGUACUUCUGUUUCAUCUGGUCUUUGCAUUCCCAUGUGAAUUCCGGUCCACGCUUAGCAUUCCAUCAGACCCUCACAAUUGGAAUGCGGCUUUUCUUCGUAUACUUUACUUCCCUAUCCUUUAUCUCAACUGGUUCUUCGACGAACAGGAGAUUCUUGUUUACUUCGAUCUCUUUUAAAGGAAUGAUAAACGUUUUGCCUGAUAGGCACUUUUUCAUAUUCGAUAUACUGAACACAUGGUGUACGUUGCUGAGCUCUACAAGCAGCUGCAGCCUAUAAGUCUUUGGACCAAUCCGAGCAAAAUCUCGAACAGCCCAAUGUAUCGUGGGUUUAGUUUUCUCGUUUCCUAAAGUGAAUCCUUCCUUUCCAAGGAGAUUCUUUUAAUAACACGCGAUCCCCGCCUUGACAUCCCGAUGGCUUACGCCGCUUGUCAGAAUAGCUCUUCUGUCGGUCUCGCGAUGCUUGAAGUCAAGCUUUAAUUUGGAUUAUCUUCUCUGUUGUUUUGCAAAUGGUUUCUAGUCUCAUGAGAGUACUGGCGAGUGAUCUGUAUUUAUGACUAUAAAGAGUUUCGAAAAGAGCAACCUUAAUGCUCGCGCGAUAGCUGUAAUGGUAUGAGAAUUCAAUCACGGGCAACCGGGUAUCCCAUGACUUGCUGAAUUCAAACACCUAGACUUGUAGCAUGAAUUUGAGUGGUUGAAUAGUUCAUUCGCUUUGACUAUUGGUUUGAGGGUGGUAAGCAACGCUCAUACUUAGCUAUGUUCCUAUAGCCUUUUGAAAUGGCUGUCAAAAUCUUGAAGUAAUUCCGCUAUCUCGAUCUGAGAUAGUAGAUACCGAUAUUUCAUGGAGUCUCAUGAUCUCCUUGGUAUAGAUCCAAGCUAAUCUUUCAGUCUUGUUUGAUUUAUGUAUUAACAGGAAAUGGGUGGAUUGGGUUAGCCUAUUGACGAUCACCCAGAUAACGCCCAAUUCACUCGCAUACCUAUAAGCUUCGUCUUUCACUCCGAGAGUUUUAUCCAUCCACGUAGUGUUUUCUUCGCAAUAUUCUUCGGAUUUGAUGCUUUCAAGGCUGGUAGUAGAUGUUGACAGUGUUUUGUUCUUGCUUCGCGAGUAGAUGAGUAUGCUAUUGAUGAAAAUAAUAAAAAGGCUAACUAGGAGUGUAUGAGAAAACUUGGUUCAUAGGGUCCAUGAAUAGCAUGGGAGCAUUUGUUAAACCGAAGGGUAUCACAAUGAAUUUGAAAUGGUCGUGACGAGUUCGGAAAGCAGUUUUUGAAAUGUCGUCUUCUCAGACUCGAAGUUGAUGAUAACCGAUUCUUAGAUCUAUUUUAGAGAAGUAACUAGCUCCUUGGAGCUGGCCAAAUAGAUCGUCAGUCCGAGGGAGUGGGUAUCGAUUUUUGAUGGGGAGCUUAUUCAAUUUCCUAAAAUCAAUGUACCUUCUGAAGGAUCCGUCUUCUUGAAGAACAACAUCGGAGCUCUUCAGGAAGAGAAGUUUGGUCUGAUGAAUCCUUUGCGCAAUAAUUCUACUCAGUUAACUAGAUAACUUGUGAAUUUUCGGCGAGAGUCAACCUAUAGUGUGAAUUGGCGAUUGAUGUGGUUCUCGGUAUGAGGUCGAUUAAAAAUUCGACCUGUCUUUCUGGAGGUGUUCCGGGAAGUUCUUCGGGAAAUACAUUCGGAAAACCUCAUGCUACCGGAAUACCUUGUAUACUUACUUCUUCCUUGGUCUUGUCCACAACAUGAGCAAAGAAAACGUAGUUCUUCUGGUGCAGGCACUUCUGUGCCUUGAUGCAUGAGAUAGGACGAGGAUUGACGUUAGGUUUAUCACCAUGGGUUAUUAGAGUUUCGUGAUUGGGAAGGUGAAGGCAAACGGCCUUCUCGCGACACAUAGUAUCAGCACGGUGGGGGCUUAACCCAACCAGGCCAAUUAUCACAUCAAAACUCCUAAUAUUUACUGGCAUUAAAUUUUAUUUGAAAUGAAUGGUUGUUUAGAGUUAUGGUGUACUCCACAAAAAUAUCCUAGGUUAAUUCGGUUUUUCCCCAUUGGUCAUGUCCACUGUAAAGGCUUAGCCUAGCUUUGGGGUUGUUGUUUUAGUAAGUGCUCAAAUUUGUUACUAAUGAAGCUUCAGUUAGCUUUACUUUUGAAUAAGGGGUAAGAAAAAGAGUUGUUAAGUGGGAACAUACCAGUAACAACUGUCGGGUCUUGAUCUGCUUUGUCUUAACCCAAGGUCAGGAUCAUUUCUGAUCCUUCUGCUCCUUGAUGGUUAUCCUUGGGGCAAUUGUGCCUGAAGUGACCAAUUCCUCCACACCCAUAGCAGGCGUGUAUGGUCUCAUCAUUUGUGUUGUUUUUAGGGUUGUUGCGAUUGUUGUCGUUUUCUUUUGGAUGACGAUUCUGGUAUGGAUAAGUUCUACAGAAUUUGGCGGUGUGAUUCUUUCGGUUGCAUUUGUUACAAUGCAUCUCCCGGCAGGCUCCAUUAUGAUGGAAUUUGCACUGGUUGCAUUUUGGAAGGUUCCAACGUAUGGUCUCCUGGUUGUUGGUGUAAUAGGGGUCAUGGUCACAUGAACAACAACAUGUUGCUUCCUUGAGAACCCUUGAGUGGGAUGUCCCUUUUUCUUACUUCCAGACCUUAGCUUCCUGCUCUUAAACUUGGGGUUUGGGGUUCCUUGAUAGGUUGUCACUUGUUGGUUUCCAUGUUUGUCCCUUUGGCUGGAGUUGUCAACGGUAUUCCCACCUCAAUUGGGGUUGUUUGCAUUGAUUUGCACCAUCACAGCGGUUACUGCCACCGUUACAGCAGCUUGGAAUGUAGCAGAGUCCAUCUACAGGAGUGGUGUCUCGUGGUUGCGCUUGUUAUUCUUGCGGGAUGGCAUUUUUCUAUCGCACGUUGAUAAUCCAGAUCGUAAGUAAUGAUCAUCAUUCCUGGUUGUACUCUAUAAAUUUUGCAUCUUGUUGUAUAAUUCUCACUGCUUCCAUCUACAUCCCUAUGAUGUAUUUGCGGUAGUACGUAAUCACAGAUUUGGCACGAUCGUCAUGUUUAUCGUUAGAGUAUAUAGGUCGUUCUGGUUUCGAGAUCCUUAAGUAUAUAGCGGUUUUGAGGGUUCGCUUGAGCAUAUAAUUGAGUCUGUGUAGUGAUAUUAAAUAAAGAUAGCACAUAAUUGUUCCAGUGGUAAGUACCAUCUUAGUACACGAAAGAGAGUCAUGUCGGAUAGAAGGGGGAAAGAAGAAAAGGUUGAUCCUAAUUGUGGCGGGAAGUAUCUGGUGGUGGUGCUGAGGAAGUGGGUGCACUUAGGAGACGAGCUACUUGUUGUUCGGUAUCCCAUAGUCGUACUUCCUAAACUAACCGUCUUGCUCGAGAGUCUCCAUUCACUUCCUAUGUUUGUCCAUCAUCUUUCUCAAUAGCAAACCACAUUUGUUCCGUUCGAUUAGGGGUGUCCUGAGCUUGGUUAUCCAUACCUUAGGUGCGCUAGACCAUGAAUAGGAGGGUCCGGUCAGCUGGUCCCCUAUGACUAAGAUCGAAGAGAUCCUGGUUCCUACUGUAAUGUGGUCGUAUCCCCUGCUGGUGACUCUAUCUCCAAAUAUCGUGUGCCCAUGGGGGCAUGGGGCCACCGGGGCCCACACGAUAAGUCGAUACUCUAGCUUUUCAUGGAUGAUUGAUGACAUCGGAUUUUGCAUCCGAGUCAUCAUCAUCAUUGCCCUUGGGCUCUUCUUCUUCAAGGUCCGCUAUUGACUCGGCGGGUUCACCUGCGAGUUCUACUUCAUGUUCCUCCUGUGGUUUUUCCUCUGGGUCGAGCCACCCUACUAUUCCUUGACUAGGGAGAUAGGGUUUCCUGGCUAAUGAUACUCGUCUAUAGCGUAUUGCACGAAGGGCUAUGAAUACUAGAAACAAAUAGCAUACCAAUUACUCCUAUAAUUCUACGAAUAUUGCAUAGAUUUAGUUGAGGUUCCCUUCUUGGAGAUUAAGGGGUAUGUUUUUAGAUUCCCUAGCUAUCACGAGUUCUCCCAGAUGUAACAGCCCGGAAUUUCAGGUAUUACUUUAAAUUAAUUUGGGGAAUAUUUAGGGGGGACUCGGCGAGUUGAUGCCUGACUCGCCGAGUAGGACCACGGUCUUGGUCACAGAUUCGCGACUGGACUCGACGAGUCCAUUAGGGACUCGGCGAGUCGACGCUGUUCAAGCUGAAACCCUAGCCGUUUCGAUUCUGGAUCGUAUAUAAUGUCUUUAGGGCCGUCAUGUCUCGUCUUUUGGCCGAUUGAAGAUAACCUAAACGGCUGUGGGCAUCUGGAGCAAGGGUGAAGGCUAGUAGAAGCUUAAAGAGGUUGUUAGGCAAGGAGAGGCAAGGUGGUGAUCAAAGGAGGAUCAAGGGGUUGAGCUCUGAAGGUUGGGGACGCAGGGAUCACGUUUUCCAGGUAAUCCUCGGAUCAUUUCUGUAGUUUUGUGGUUGUACACGAAUCUAGGGUUUAGGAAACCCAUUUAAGGAUUUGAUAGAUUAUAGAGUUGUUACAAGUGUUUAAAUCCCAGUAAUAGUAUGUGUAAAGGUCCAGGAAGUCCCAUAUCUAUAUAUUACGGAAUCAUGCGAAUUACAGGAGGCAGUUGGUUGACUGCAUGGCGAGGACUCGCCGAGUCCAAUGAUCAGACUCGGCGAGUAGCUUGAAGAUUCACUAGGACUCGCCGAGUUGUUCUUCAGACUCGGCGAGUAGCUUGAAGACUUACUGGAACUCGUCGAGUCGUUCUUCAGACUCGGCGAGUGGUGUCAGGAUGUCUAUACUCGUCGAGUUACCCUUUGUACUCGACGAGUCCGGUCAAGAUUGACCGUUGACCUGUAUAUAUCUUAGAGGGGUCAGUUGUCUUGUUUGAUAAGAUCAUUAACUAGGGCUGUGGUAUUAUAGGGAACCUGCGGNNNNNNNNNNNNNNNNNNNNNNNNNNNNNNNNNNNNNNNNNNNNNNNNNNNNNNNNNNNNNNNNNNNNNNNNNNNNNNNNNNNNNNNNNNNNNNNNNNNNNNNNNNNNNNNNNNNNNNNNNNNNNNNNNNNNNNNNNNNNNNNNNNNNNNNNNNNNNNNNNNNNNNNNNNNNNNNNNNNNNNNNNNNNNNNNNNNNNNNNNNNNNNNNNNNNNNNNNNNNNNNNNNNNNNNNNNNNNNNNNNNNNNNNNNNNNNNNNNNNNNNNNNNNNNNNNNNNNNNNNNNNNNNNNNNNNNNNNNNNNNNNNNNNNNNNNNNNNNNNNNNNNNNNNNNNNNNNNNNNNNNNNNNNNNNNNNNNNNNNNNNNNNNNNNNNNNNNNNNNNNNNNNNNNNNNNNNNNNNNNNNNNNNNNNNNNNNNNNNNNNNNNNNNNNNNNNNNNNNNNNNNNNNNNNNNNNNNNNNNNNNNNNNNNNNNNNNNNNNNNNNNNNNNNNNNNNNNNNNNNNNNNNNNNNNNNNNNNNNNNNNNNNNNNNNNNNNNNNNNNNNNNNNCAGGCGUUCUCUUUUUGGUGAUAAAGGGGUAUAGUUUUAGGUUCCCUAGCUAUCACGAUCUCAUCAGAACGUGUGUUAGUUAUACUUUGGAGAGAAUGUAGUUGAUCAGGCUACAUCCACUCCUUGGUACCACUAAGAACAGUCCUGAAUUAACCGAGAUACUAGCAUUAUCUUGUUUGGUUCGGCGUUAUGUUCCUUAUUCCUAAUGCAAGCAAAGGUGUUUUAUUGUUGUAUUUUACUUGUUUUGUUCAGAGUUAUGUUAGUCCCUCUUUUGGUUUAUAGUUGCAUAUCAAUGUAUGGUUAGAUAUGCUAGUUCACUAUAAACAGAGCUCUGAUACCAACCUGUCACACCCCCGAACCAGACGGCGGAAACGUCCGGGAGCCGUUGUGACUCAAUUGAAUACCAUCACAAUGAAUAUACAUGAAACAUAACAUCAUUCAUCACCAUGCAUUGGAAUAUUACAAAUGGUAGUGUUUACAUUUAGUACAUUGAUCCAUAAUAUUACAUGCCCAAAAGUAAAUUGUUCGGUACUAAUUAAAACAACAGCAAGACGUUACUGAGUACAUUUUUCCUUUUCGAUUUACCUGUUACCUGAGAAUACAAGUAUUUUGAAAAACGUCAACAUAUGAAAUGUUGGUGAGUUCAUAAGUAAUGUUUGAAAUAUAGUGGUUUGUAUUGUUUUGAAAAUCACCAGAAAAUCCGAUAUUUUCUGAAAAGAGCAUAGUAUAAAAAGUGUGAAGAUCCGUAAGUAUGCUUGUUUGUUUCUAUAAAUGUAAAAGUACAAUUUGUAAAACUCGGUAUGUAACUCGUAGGUGUAUUAAUUGAAAACCCUAGGAAAACCCGAUGUUUUCCUAAUACUUUGCAUCAAAUGUUUUAUAUUUUGUUAUUUCGUUGCGACGGGUGUAUUCGUUGAGUCCCGGUGACGUUGGAUUAAUUAUGGAUUGUGAAUUGUUAUAAACACACAUUAAUGAAAAUGACUAGUUUACAACUAUACAAACGAUCCCUUAGGCGUCGCUCGCACUAUUCACUUAAUCCAAUCACCCGGACUUCUCAUAGCCCCACAACCGAGGAGGAAAAGAGGGUGCGAAGCCCCCGAUAUUUUCCAUAAGUCGUUCAAGGCUAUCGUGAAUGCGAAGGGCCCUUAGCCCGACUCGCAUUUGGUGAAUUCUCGACUUUACUAGCAGCACCAGAGGACCCUUGGGGUCCAACAGCACAAAGCCUGUAAAAGUCCUUUUACACGGAAUUAGGUCAUAUAAGACCCAACUACAUGUAAGCGAGUUUCCUUCGGGCCUAAAGAUCAUGUCAUUGGGCUAGCUAGGCCCAACAAGCACGAUUUGAAACUUUCGGGCCCAAAGACGGUGUAUCGACGUCUGGUGUAUUCCCACGUGUGUAUUGACUUCCCGAAAUUUCCGCGUGUGUAUUGAAUUCCCGAGAUUUCCGCGUGUGUAUUGAAGUAUCGUCGUGUUAGUAAUUUCGGAUUCAUUAUUGAUUCGAGACCGAAUCAAUUCGUUUGAUAACGAUUUUUGGUGUUGAAGGUGUAUUAUAUUUCGCCGAUAGUCGAGGUACUAGUAUUUCAUCAUGUCGGAUUUAUUGUUUAAAACAUUAGAAUUUUACAUUUUGCAGCCCCUUUCUUUUGGAUAAAUUUACACUUUUGACCCUUUGUAUAAAAGAAUUUCUAUUUUAGUCCUUAAACCAUUUUUCUUGACACUUUAGUAUCAAAACUUGUAGAAAAGGUAUUUUUCAGCUCAAAGUUAUUUGAAAAACAGUUUUAGUCCCUCAAAUGAAAUUUUUCUCGGCUGAAACCCUUAUUUUCGCAGUUUUUACACUUUUGGCCCAAAAUAGAAAAUUUUUGCAUCUUUGGUCCCUUUUAAAUAUGAAAAGCAUUUUUAACCCUUGAAAUGGACUUGGAGCACUAGUAGUCCCCUGUUUUACAGAAAAAUACAGUUUUAGCCCCUCUAAUUUGAAAAUCUCGCAAUUUGGGCUUUAUUGGGCCGAAAAGUUCAUUUUUGGCCCAAUAUGCUUACAAAUUUCACAUUUAAUCCUUCAAAGAGAAUAUUUCUAGAAAAAUACAUUGUUGAAACCGUUUUGACUCAUUUCAUCCAUCAGAAUUUGUAUUUUGUCAUUUUGGGCCCUUUAACCUUAUAUUUUUAACAUUUUGAGUCCAAAAAUGGGAUUUUUAGCCCAAGGAGUUCAUAUUAACCAACUUGGUUAUUUUUCUAGAAAUGAUUUGUGUGUAAUAAUAUGUUUAACACUUGUUUCAUACAUCCUAAUGCAAAUCUCGAUUUUAAGGACUUUUUGACUAGUUUCAACACCAUAAUCACAUAAGAACAUGUAAAUAAACAUAGAAAUCAUACAAAGCAUACAUAUACUCAUAGAUCCACACAUUUGCUUGUAUUCCCCCCCCCCCCCAAAACUUAUAAUAACCGAAAAAUAGGGGGUAUGAAGCUCACCUUUGCUUUGAUGUUUCGGUUUUGAAGAAGAAUAUGAGAAGAUGAUGUUGUUUUCGGCCUAACUUGUUUCUAUGAUAAGAUCUUCGAGUUCUAGGAAUUUUUAGAGUGUGGUUCAUAAAAAAAAGGUGGUAAGAGAAGUGAUUUGAGUUUAGAAAUGAAACAAAUCAACUUAGGUUUGUAAUAUCUUACCAAGGAUAAUGAUCUUGGUGAAAAAUCCUAUUGAAAGCACUCUAAAUCUUCGAAAUUUUUGGAGGAGGAAGGAGGUGUUCUAGAGAGAGUUUCUUAAGUGAUUUUGAAGGAAAUGAGGUGGUGAGAAGAUGUGUUGGCUGAAAAUAAGAAGAGAGGGGGAGAGAGGAUGUGAUGGUUACCUAGAUGUAUGAGGUUUGGAUAUUACUUAAUGGUUAAUUUGCAUUGAAGUCCACCAUGCAAAUGUGAUGUGUCUAUUGCUCAUUAAUUCUCUUCUUUCUUCAUUGGGCCGAAAUGGAGUAAUCAUGAAGGAGUUUUGGCCUUAUCUUGGUCCUUACUCGAAAUUAUGAAGCACAAAAUACAUUUUUCGGCCCAUUGGGGCAAAUGAAAUCUUUUAUGGCCCAACAAGGCUCAUUAGAGUUAAGAUGGAUUAUUUUAGGCCCACAUGGCCCAAAAUGCUAAGGUUUUAUGAAUGUGGUCUAUUUAGAGCCCAAUUAGGGUUUCUAGGCCCAAGAUAGUCAACUUGAAGGUUUAUUGGUCCAUUAGGCCCAAUAAGAGAAUCCUAGGCCAUAGUGAACUUGAAAUGGGAUAUCUAGGGUUUCCAACCCUUAUUUGAGCAUAUGAGAUACAUUUGAAUAGGAAUGGAGCGUGGUAUUCUCUUAGAUUACAAGUUAUCACACUAGGUGAAUGAUUGCACGAGAGUAGAGUUUCCUAGCAAAAAUGCUAGUUGUGACAGACCAAGAGUUUAUCCUUUAAAUAAUAAAAUAUUUAAUUAGUAUACGUGCCUGCAUUCAUACUAAAAUCAGUGUCACUAGGACACUACAAAAGAAUUACGGUUGUUGGGCAAGACGAGUGGGUUUAAAGACAUAUGGUCAAAAUUGGGAAGAUAUAGCCUGAUCACCUAUAUUAUCCGAGGGUUGACUAGCAUGUGCCUAAGUUUAAUUGUGUGGUUGCAACAAAUCUAAAAUCUUACCAACCCUACCACAAUAAGAACAUUAGAACAUAACAUUAAACUUAAAAUACUAUAGGAGUAUUUGGUGUUACUAUAAGUACGUUAUACUUGAGAACUUAAACAGGAUCUUCAUUACUAAGUUGAUAGUUGCUAAGUGGAUACACUAAGGAUAUAUGUAAUUAGGAUGUUAUAGACUUAGAAUUUGUGAAAUUUUACUUUACCCCGAUUCUGUGUGAAUUUGGAGUUAAGGUCACAUAUUCGAAGGCCUAUCUUGUUUCGAUUACCUAUAACUGGUAUGCACUUCACAAAUAACGAUGUAACUAAUGAAGAUUUUCUAAAUAAUUAUCUAGAUAGUUCGUCUACUAGUUAUUUUCUUACCCCAAUUCUCGCAUAGAUAACAUGGCUGGACUCCAUCCCCACGGCAACCAGUACCUCCCGAAUGAGGUCAUUGCUGGAUGGUUUGGAGAAGAACCAGAGAAUGAUUAUCUGAUCCCUUUGAAUGAUCACCAUGAUGAAGACCUUUCGGACGAUGCUAAUUCCGAAACAGAGGUUGAGAAUCUACCCCAAGCAGCUCCCUUUCCAAUUCCUAACCCUCGUCCGACUUUUCAUGGCCCGACCCCUGAGUGAGUGGAAUGCUUGGAAACAUGGAGCCAAGGACAAGAUCAGCCCAUGCCAUUUAAUGGCGACCGAAGCUUUUACGACCUGAGCAAUAGGGGCUCAGCAGAUAGAAUCUUGCCAAUCUUGGUCCACAGAGUGGCCUGAAAUGAGAUUCAAGGCAGGACAGCCCUACAUCAGAUCACCGAAGUUGUCGCCGAUGCGAGAAUGCAUACCCUCCGCACCAUUCGUCUCGAAGAUGCUCGCAAGAAAUCAGAGAGAAACCAUGAAACCCUGCUGCAAGCACUAGCUGAAUCACGAGCCGAAGUCAUAGAGCUCCGAGUACGCCAGAGGGUGUACGAUAGACACCUACUUGAUGUAGAACGUCAACUGGCUUCUGAGAGUUCACCUGAGGGAUGACCAUCGUCAGUAGUAGAUUCUUUACCUUACUUCCCUUGUUAGAAAGUAAUCGUUUUCUGUCUUUGCCCGAUGUGGCAUUUUCUAUGAAAUUACCUUGUACUGUAAGUACUUUAGGUUAGGUCCUUAUGCUGUCAAGAAUUAUCUUCUCUGGAUAUGAUGUAAGACUUUUACAAGGUCAUUUUCUUGAAUCUUUACGUCAUGAAUAUCAAAGAUAUUGACAGCCGGCUAACUUUUGUGUCAUUCUUUAUUCAAGUACUCUUAUCAUACUUUCAUGGGAGUCUAUCUGAAACCUGCUUUAGUCAAGUCAUUGGACUAUAGUAAUUUAACUCGGGAGACAUUUCUAAGUCUCCUUUAGUGGUUGGAUCCUAUUAUUCACCAACCACGAUACCUCGGCUUGAACGACAAACGUCUUGAGACCAUUCUACGAACUUACCUCCAAUCCGUACUAGGACUGCAUCGUAGGGAUGUAGGUCAACCUUUCGAGAUCAUACUCUUACUCUUUGAUUGAGCAAUCAAAGUACAUCUAAGGUCAGCCAAAAUCGCUCAUCAAAACCCUUAUCUUUCGUGUUACAGAAUCAUGUCGUCAUCCGGAAACAAUCAGUCGAACAACGAAACCCCUAUCCUCCAUAUCAACGCCGCUACAUUACAAGCUGCAGUAGCAGCUGCUGUGACAACUUUCCUUACGCACAUCAACUCAAGCAACACAAGCAAGACUGACAAAGGAGUCGAGAGUUCCGAUGGUAGUACGAAACCGAGAAACCAACAAAUGGCAACAAACAUGGACUUGCGAAGCUGUAAAACCGAAAGGAAGAGGCGAUAUCGUAAAGCCCUAAAGGAGUGCAAGAGAGCCCAAGGACUUGCCAUGCCACAGCCAGAAGUGGCAGCUACUACAAAACGCUUUAAGAAGCAAUUUCCUAGGUGGAGUAAUGAGGAAGGCACUCGUGUCCACAUAACACUGGCUAAACACCGCAAUCCCGUCACCAAUGCAAGUACUAGCUAGUCAUGCCACCAAUGCGGUGAGAUAGGGCACUUCAAGAAGGAUUGCCCUAUAGCAAAGAACUCUGGCGCAGAUGGGAGGAUUCUCAGGAUCACAGCUGCAGGAGAGCCUACUCCGGAACCCUCGUUAAUGUAACUUAGGCGUGUUGUUGUAACAGACUUAUAAACUAUCCAGAACUAGUUCAACUAGAGUCUUACCUUUCGCGGGAUCCUAUCGGUAUAGGGAUUCUCGUGCUGCGUAUACUUGUCUUUUGUAGUAUAUCUUAUUCGCAGCAAUAGUCUUGUGGUAAAUCUAAAGUACUGUAACUCUGUUCAUGGUUGCACGGUUCUGUUUUGUCUGUAAACGUCUUAUGUUCAAAUCUAAUGUCUUUAAGUUUUAGUAUGAUUUCGACAUUAUCAUACGACUCGAUUCAAUUUGAUCCUCACAAAAACAACUUCAUACGUACGUCUCCUUAUUAGUAAACAUCUUUUUAGCGAAAUCGUCAUAUCAGAACACCGAAGUACUCGUGCCAGGAGUACCUCUUAGUUAUUUUCUUUCCGAAGAAAUCCCCGAAGUACCACUCGUGCAGUACGUCAAGUUUAAUCCAAGGAUUCAUGCGAUUGAUCUAUCACUGAGGAAUGUAUACAUAAGAGUGAUAUAUAAUCAAGGUUCUACAGGUUUAGAAUUGAUGAUUCCACUUUAACUUCUUUUUCCUCGAAAGGAAGUGAGCUUAAAGAAGAAUCAGUUAUUCGACUACCUUUUCAAUCUUAAUUGUAUACGACUCGUAUACACGAGAUUGUGAUUGUGAAAACAUGUAUGAAUUCUAAUAUGAUCUUCAGGACGGAGAACUGCCUAAGCCUACGAGUAAUCGCAUCGUCAUGUGAACAAACUUAGAACCCAGUACGACUCUUGUAAACAUAUCGCCCUAUAGUCUAGACACCUACGGAGAUACCAGAACAGUACAGACAACUUAACGAACUACGAAGAAAUAGAAUUAGAAGACUAGGAUUCUCACCCUGGAGAACCCCACUCUUAUUCUUCUAAGGAUCGAUGGAUUGCAUCGUAUGUGCCUUGGAUAUCGAGGGCUCCGUCAAGAUUUUUCAUUAGAAAUCGUUUUCUCUGCCUCGCAUAGAUGAAAUGGUUGAGAAAACGCAAAGAAAGAAUUACUUUCAUAAAUGGAUAUGAGAUCCGAAUAUCACCAGUUUGAGUGUUAGGGAAGGAUGUCCGGAAGACUAUCUUCCGAACUCGAUACGGGCACUUUGAGUCCGUAGUGAUACCCUUCCGAUAGGACCAAUAUGCCCAUAGUUUUCAUGAGCUAUAUGAGUAGGGUACGUCUUUCUUACUUGGAUCAGUUCGUCAUUUCUCCAUGUAAUGACUUACUUAUCUGCCCUCGUAGUAAGAAGAAAACCCAUGGUAACAUUUCCUUUAGAGGAACUUUUCGCGAAGUUCUCUAGGCCCGAGUUUUGGAAUUGAAGAGUCAAAAUUUCCUAAGACACACUAUUAGUGAUGUGGGAAAAUUUUGAGUACUCUUUCAAUUUGUCAAAACUGUGGAGAAUUUGUUGACACCAGAGACACCGACAAAAAUUCGCCAAAUUUUAGGUCUUACCGACCUACUGUCAUAGUUCAUUCAGAACCCUUCACAAAUUACAGAAACCUUUACGACUCUGACCCAGCAAAGGGUGGCCCUUGACUGGGAAGUUAAACAAGAAAAAGAAACCUUGGAGAUUCCAAGUGAGUGACCAAGUUCUUUAGGAGAACUCACUCUGGGAACUACUUAAUACGCUUCGUGAAGCGUGGAAAGCUAAAUCCAAGAUAGAUAGGACCUCCGAGAUUCUUACUAGAAUCGGUCCUGUACCUAGCACACACUAGACAUACUCCGCGAACUCAGUAACAUACAUUCUACUCUUCGCGUCUGGAUCGUGAAACCAUACCUUUCCGUUAGGACUCUUGUAAGUCCACUCGUCGAGAUCCUCGCCUUCGUAUUAAAACCGUAGUGACCCUCGACCGAGAGGUCAAGUGGACGAAACAACGCCGUCGCCAGUUAGUGAAGGUUCGUUGGAAUGCCAACCGAGAACCCGAUUUCACUUAGGUGCACUAGAACCAAUCGAUUAGGAAGUUUCCUCCUCACAACUCGAUCAUACUUCCUUGCCUAAAUUCUAAUUUCGGGACGAAAUUCCCUUUGACGGGGGGAUGAUGUGACAACCCGAAAUUUCCGUUCUGAACAAACCAUAUCAAGCCAAUAGAAGUUAGAACAGUUUCAGUGAAAUUCCAGACUUCGGGUAUAAGUUUGGCAGUUUUUCAGGAUUUACACUUAAAGAGAUAUCAGGAGAGUAGAUGCACUAGGGUUUUGUGCAACAUUGUUAUUCCAAUACUCUAGGAUAUUAGAGUUUAUUCCGGGAAUAAAAAUAUUUUCUGCCAAAAAUCCCAGGACUAUAUAUAGAAAAACUGAACCAUAUUCAUUCAUUAGCUACAUUUCCAUUUAGAGAAAAGUCAAAAUUCUCUCUCACGGAUCUUUGGGGUUUUAUCCUAAAUUGUGAGUACUUCGAUCUAGUUAUGUUAUAUAGCUUAGAUUGUGUUUAGAAACAUCAAAAUCGGACCAUAACCCCAAGAUUUGGGAGUUUACCGCCCAAGAACACUUGGGGAGUAAACUCCAUUUUAAGGGCCAAAAGUGUCCCAAUGCCCCUCAAAGCCUUGGAACUCAAACUAGAAGCCUCCAUUACAUGUUUAGGACACCAAAAUCAAUUAGAAACAAGGAUGAAAGUGAGUUCACGGCCAAGGAGGUUCUUGGGUCGUGAACUCCAUGUUUAAGUGCUAAAAUGCCCUAAAUGCCUUCAUUUGGCCAAGAGAAUAGCAUAGCACAUUACCUUGAUGUAUCUAGGAUCCAAAACAAUCUAAAUACCAAAACCUAGGGGUGUUCACGGCCGCAAACACAUGGCCAAAAGGUUCAUGGGCCGAAAACUCUAGUUAGGGGUGUUUUGAUGCCACAAACACUUCCUAAGGCUUAGGCUUGAAUUUAGACAUGUAACCUAGUGUGUUUGGGGCUAGCAAACACCAUUAAAACACCAAGAAAAGGGUGUUCACGGCCCAAGAUGUUCCAGGGCCAUGAACUCCAAUAAAUGGUGCCAAAUGGUGCCAUAAAUCCUCCUAAAGCCUUGGACAAUUGCCUUAAUGCAUUCCUUGAUAAUUUAGGGACUUGAAAGCACCAUAAGCCUUCCCCCAAGGGAUAUUACGGCCGUAAUCUCAAUGGGAUAUGGUCCCAAGGCCGUGAACUCCUCAAUGGAGUCAACAGGAAGCCCAAACAAGUGUUUAAGCCUUGGAACAAUUCACCACUAGAGUUGUAUUAAUUCUAAGCUUCAUUUAGAGACCUUAUUGAGAGUUUACGGCCAGGAGUUUACUCCACUGGGCCGUAAACUCCAAAUCAUAUGGUCAUUUGACCAUAAACCCCCAUUAGACGUCUUGCACUCCUUUGUUGCAACCCAUUUGCCUCCUAGCACUUGACCAAAAGUGUUUUCCUCACAUUAAAAUGCUUAUACUUGUAUAAUUAGUGUUUUAAUCACUAAUUAUUUAUAUACAUAUGUCUUCAUAUGAAAUUAGGAUCAUUGUGUGUGUCUAAAGUCUUCACUUGACACCAAGCACUUGUCCGAUCAUUCCUUACGAUAACAGUCCGUUCAAUUCCAGUCACUUACUGCAGGUGAGUUCAUACCCCUUAAUUAAUGUUUUAAACUAUUUUUAAAUGUUUUAUGGGGGGGGGAUACAAGUAGAAUCAUGCUACUUAUUAUAUCAAUCACAUGUGAUUAAUAAGUAGAAUUAUGCUAGUUAUUAUAUCAAUCACAUGUGAUUAAUAUGCAACAUUCAAAUGAUUUACUACACAUUAACCGUUUUACCAAACAGGUUCUUCAAAUGAUUUUCUUAAAUGUUUUAUAUGUUUAAAAAUCCUUAUUAAACUGUUCAUUACACACUGUAUGAUCCUUUUCAAACCAUUUUACUCCGAUCCGUUUUACUCCAAGCUAUUACCAAAUCGUUUUACUUCAAACUGUUUUCACUUCAAACUGUUUUAUCGAUUGACAUCAAGUCGAUCUUUUCUUAAGAUAAUAAUUAUGUUCAAAGGUUUUACAAAACUUAUUUAUGCUUUUAUAUUAUAAAUUGCAUGCCUCUAUAUGUAUAGUUAUAUAAGAAAUGUUUAAAAGACUUAGGAAGGCUAUCCACCCUAUUUCCUUUUCGCGCUUGAGAUGUGGUCUGGUGGGAUAUCGGGUACUCGUCCGAAGGUCGUUUAAAUAUUAGUUAUAUAUCAUGUGUACAUAUAUAGUCAUAAAGGCCCUUCCAGUUCAUCCCAUGCCCUUGGGUAGCAAGGGUAUACAUCCAUGUCCAUACGUACCAGUUAGAUUACUAGUAAACUACCAUAUGGGUAGUUUAGGAAGAUACUAGAACUAUUACUAGAACGCGAUAUCAUACAAUGAGUCAGUUCAUUCAUGAGUCAAUACUUACUACUAGAAGAACAUAUACAACUAUACUAGAGAAGAACAUAUACAACUAUACUAGAGAAGAACAUAUACAACUAUACUAGAAAGAGAACAUAUACAACGAUACUAGAACGAUUACAUUACUAUACUUGCUAGGUAGAGAGCACGUACAUUACAGCUAGAACAGUUCAUUACAUUACAUAUACAUGAAUACGUUAAUAAUUGUGAUCCACUGUAUCGGAGCAUGCCUUAAAUGUCAUGGCCCGAGUUGUAGCCAGAAUUCUCUUGGAGGGAGAGCGUGAGUUUGCGUAUAGAUCUAUACUGGAUUGACUAUCCUACACCUUGCUGCUAGCUACAGCCGGACCUGCAGGUCUGCGGGUGCCAAACGUCAUUCCGUUUUACAACCAUUUGUAUGUCGUUGUUACCAGUCAAUAGUAUGCUGCAAUUAAUCACAUGAUGCCUUAAUAUAAAUCCAGUUUAAGGUAGUUAGUACGACAGUAGUUCCUAUAAUACAACACUACAGUACUACAUUAAUUUCCCCUUUUCAUAUAUUUAGUGAUCAUUUCAAUUAAACAUUUAAUGUAAAAAGUAUAUUUUGAUAAUGAUAGUUACACUUGGGAAAAAUACACACUUUUACAAGAAACGAACAUUUAGAACAGUUAAGUCUUGGUAGAAGACUACAUUGAGAACAAUUAAGUCUUGGUAGAAGACACCUUUAUAUAAAAGUAGGAAUCAUAGGGAUUUCUAGGGUUUUUCAAACGUUUACAGUUGUUUUACAAACAUUUUUAUACUUACAGUUCAUCUACAUUUUUCCAUACUUACAGUUCAUUUACAAACAAUUUCUUACAUACAAAUUAAGACACUAAAAUACUUAUGAUCUCACCAGCUUCAAAGCUGAUACUCGCUUUCAAAAUUACUUGUAUCCUCAGGUCAUCAUAGACAGGUACCGAUGCAAGGAUUAGGGAAGAUGGAGCUCGUUGAAGACUCAUCUUUCAUUUUGAUUUAUGCUUUAGUGUUUAUCAAAAUUUGACAGAACACACUUGUAUAAUAAUUAUAUUAUUAAUGCAAUGGAUGAUGUUGUUGCUUGUUUACUACUUUUCAUUGUUGUGAUACUGUACAUGACGUCCUCCGCCCCAGAACAUUUCCGCCGUUCUUGGUUUUGGGUUGUGAUAGCUAUUUUAUGUUCUCACAAUGGGUAACAUUUCCUAUUUUUAUAUAAUUUGAUAUUUAAAAUCUUUAUAUAAAAAUGCAUUUUGAUACAAGUCUAAAUUACUUAUUUGUAUUUUCCAACUUUUGUACAUUUGGAUUUGAACAAAUGGUAUUUAUGAAAGAGUCAUAACACAUUAUUAUAACUCAAUUAUUUUAUACUUUUAAUAGAAAAGUACACAUUUAUAAAAGCUGGUCAUCCAGCUAAAUUUUAUUACACAAUGUUGGGUAUAAAAAUACUCUGUGUCAAAACCUAUAGAACUCACCAACAAUUUUGUUGAUGUAUUUUAAUGCAUGUAUUCUCAGGUUAUUUAGCAGGUCGGAAGUGUUCGCUCAGAAGACUCUCCGUUAGUUAUAUUAUAUCUUUGUAAACGCCGGAUUGUCAGGCAUGUGUAACGAUUUUGUAACGACCCGUCUCUAGUAUGUUGUUUCCAUGUUAUUUAUUUAGAAGUUUUCAAGAGGGACUCAACGAGUCUAUAGCCCGACUCGUCGAGUAGAGACGAGAUUUCGAGCACGUGUAAGUCGGCGACUCGACGAGUUCAUAUUCGGGACUCGGCGAGUCCGCCUGCCAGGAAGAAACCCCAAAUCCCUGGGUUUGCUCACUAUUUAAGCAAUGUUAUGUGCCCCAAACUCGCCUCCUUCACCCUCAGAGAGCUUGUGAGAAACCCUAAACCAUUCCUUGUAUGAUUAAAGUGUUUUUGUGUGGAUUCUUAAAGGAUUGAAGAAGAAAAAGAAGAAAGGACCAAAAAGAGGAAGUGUAGAGCAAAGAUCCAAGGCCAUAGUCAGAGUUCAUUGAGGUAUGUCUCGGAAUUAUUCUGUUUUGUGCUUAAAACCUCCAUUAAAACACCUAUAAGGCUAGUUUAAUGUAUUUUCCAAGCUUUAUAGUUGUACGGAUGCCUUGUUGGGUCGAGAUAUCCCUAGAUCUGUUCAAUUAGGAGUUUUAGAGCCCUGAUCUAUUGCCUUUUUCGAAGUUGCCUUGCAUGAGAACCCUAGAUCUAGCCUUUAUUAUGCUUUUUGAGCCUUUUUAAUCUUCAUGUAUGCUUAUGGGCACGUAAAGAUAGAAUCAUUACGUGUUAAUCGAGCAUAAGAAGCCUAGAUCUACAAGUUAUAUGCGCUGGAUUCAAGCGGAAUCAAGUUUUUAGUAACUGCAUGUAUGCGACUCGGCGAGUCGAGCCGCGAGUCCCCGAUUUUUCCCCUUUUGAGUGAUUCUGAGUGGGGACCAGUGAGUAGUAGAAUGGACUCAAUGAGCCGGAGGUCAGACUUGGUAAUGGAGGGACUCGACGAGUUGUUCAUACAACUCGGCGAGUCCAAGGCAAUCUUCGUAGAUUCAAGAACAACUCGUCGAUUUGUUCAUACAACUCGGCGAGUUGUUCAUACAACUCGGCGAGUCGGAUGCAGAUAGCCUAAGUUCUAGAAUCGAAAGGAAACUCGUUGUGUUGAUGCCAUACUCGACGAGUAGCAGCGAACAGGGUUGAGAAAUGAGAGUAGGGACUCGGCGAGUUGACGGCUCAACUCGGCGAGUCGGGUCAACUGUAAGUUGACUUUGACCGGGAGAGUUGAUUUUGGCCAGGGGUAAAAGAGUCAUUUUACCCCAACAUAGUUAUUAGNUGUGUUUAUGGAAUUGUAGCCGGGGAGAUACCGGAGCAGCAACAGAUAGCUUCCAGAGCCAUACACUCAGCAGCCAGUUCAUGAGGUGAGUUUCCUACCAGUAGGAACGGGUCUACGGCCACAAUGCCGGCCCGUUUAGCUAGCAGUUAGUUCCGGACUUCGGUCCGAAGCAGUAGUUCAGGGUGCUUGAUCUCUUUGUGAUUCAGGCAUGUCUAUGUGUUAUGUGUUCCGGACUUCAGUCCGAUGCAGUAUAUGUGUUAUGUUAGCAGAUACGUGUUUAUGUUAUGCUAUGUUCAGAUAGUUCCGGAUUUCGGUCCGAUGCAGCUAGUUCUGGACUCCGGUCCGAUGCAGGGGACAAGGUCCCUGUCAGUUCCGGACUUCGGUCCGAUGCAGUUAGUUCCGGACUUCGAUCUGAUGCAGUCAGUUCCGGACUUCGGUCCGAUGCAGUUAGUUCCGGACUUCGGUCCGAUGCAGUGGGCAAGGCCCAGUAUGUGCUUUAUUUGUUAUUGUGUGGUAUGUGGUAGUUCGGGGGAGCUCACUAAGCUUCGUGCUUACAGUUUCAGUUUUGGUUUCUGGUACUUCCGCAAGUAAAGGGAAGAGCUCGGGAUGAUGGCAUCGCACACACCACAGCUUCAGUUUUUGUCCUGGGAGUUGAUUCAGUUUCUUAGAUAUGUUUUGAUACAGUUGUGACACAGUUUUUCUCACAGUAUUUUAUUAUGGUUUUGAGAUACGCAACGUAUGGUUUUAUUAUGUGAUACUCAGUUUUAUGAUCUUUGUUAUAUUAAAAAUGAAAUUUUCGGGUCGUAUUUUUGGGAUGUUUCAGAUUUAGCAAUUAGUCAUUGUCAAUGUAAUUUCUAUUUCGGUAAUAAUAGAAGAUUAUAUUUGUACUGUUCAAUGUAUGUUUAAUAACUGUGAUUAGGGGUGUGCAUGGGUCGGUUUGGGUCGGUUUUGGACUCAAACCCAACCCAACCCAUAAAUGGUCGGUUUCUGGUUUUUAGAACCCAAUAGGAUCGGUUUCUGGUCGGUUCGGUUUCUUGGGUUCUAAGGUCGGUUUGGGCGGUUUUUCGGUUUCUUGGGUUCAACCCAUACACUCACGGGUUCUGGGUUUAAACCCAUGGGUUUAAGGUUUUAACCCAUUUUCCAUAAAUGAAGCAACAAGUUAGAUACUUCAAAAAAUAACAAAUUGAAGUUAAGUACUUCAAAAAAUAUGAGUCUUACAACAAAUAGUCAAUUACAACUUACAACUAAAGCCCGAAAUAGUCUAUUACAACUAAAACACAAUCAAGUAU